AGAAUCAACGCUGGCGGCGUGCCUCAGACAUGCAAGUCGAACGCGAAAGCCCCCUUCGGGGGCAAGUAGAGUGGCGCACGGGUGAGUAACACGUAGGUAAUCUACCUUUGGAUGGGGAAUAACAACCGGAAACGGUUGCUAAUACCGCAUAAUGCAGCGGCACCUAAUAGUGACAGUUGUUAAAGCGGGGGAUCGAAAGACCUCGCGUCUGAAGAGGAGCCUGCGGCGGAUUAGCUAGUUGGUAAGGUAACGGCUUACCAAGGCAACGAUCC
rnacentral:rRNA from 1 species